rnacentral:tRNA from 1 species
UAGCUCAGUCAGUAGAGAAUCUGCCUGCAAUGCAGGAAACCCAGGUUCAGUUCCUGG